rnacentral:rRNA from 1 species
GACAGAGGGGGCGAGCGUUGUCCGGAAUCACUGGGCGUAAAGCGCGCGCAGGCGGCGACGUAAGUGGGGUGUGAAAGCCCCCGGCUCAACCUGGGGAUGGCACGGGAGACUGGGUUGCUGGAGUAGCGGAGAGGCCGGUGGAAUUCCCGGUGUAGCGGUGAAAUGCGUAGAGAUCGGGAGGAAGACCAGUGGGGAAGCCAGUGGUCUGGCCGCAUCCUGACGCUGAGGCGCGAAAGCGUGGGGAGCAAACCGG